AGAACGAACGCUGGCGGCAGGCCUAACACAUGCAAGUCGAACGCCCGUAGCAAUACGGGAGUGGCAGACGGGUGAGUAACGCGUGGGAACGUACCUUUCGGUUCGGAAUAACCCGGGGGAAACUCGGGCUAAUACCGGAUACGUCCGCAAGGAGAAAGAUUUAUCGCCGAAAGAUCGGCCCGCGUCGGAUUAGCUAGUUGGCGGGGUAAUGGCCCACCAAGGCGACGAUCCGUAGCUGGUCUGAGAGGAUGAUCAGCCACACUGGGACUGAGACACGGCCCAGACUCCUACGGGAGGCAGCAGUGGGGAAUAUUGGACAAUGGGCGAAAGCCUGAUCCAGCCAUGACCGCG
rnacentral:rRNA from 1 species